rnacentral:lncRNA from 10 species
GUCUUUAAGCCACAUGUAGCAUUUGAUCUUUAUUCUGUAGGCAACUGGCAGCCACUGAAGAGUUUUACCGAGGGAGUUGUUGCAUUAUUAGAUUUGUAUUCUGGAAAAGUAACAGUUGAAGAAAGCAAGGCAUGAAUUGCAAGGAGCCAAUUAUUAUUGUACAGGAUAGAAAGAAUAAAGGCCCAAAUUUAGAUAAUUAGAAAGAGGGCAUGGGGGAAAUGAUGAGAUGAAUUUAAGGAAGAUUUGGUGUGGGAAAGGAAGAUUUGGUGAUAGGGUGUGGGAAAUGAAGGAAAGGAAUCAAGAAUGAGUCCAAAGUGUCUGAUGUGGUCAGCUCCGUGGGCUGUGGUACAGAGUCUGUUCUUAUUCGCUAUUUAUGAGCGUGUAAAUGUCUCAAGUUUGAGAUUGCGCAAGAAAGACCAAGCAGGGGAAGAAGGUAAAGAGUUCAAUUUGGCCAUUUGACUUUGAAAUUGUAGAGGGUAAAGAGGAACAAUAAAUAGGUCCAAAGCUCAGGGGAAGGAGUAGGAGCCAGGGAUGGAGAUUUGGGAAUCUGCAUACAGGUGGCUAGAACUGUAGGCAUAGAUGAGAUCACCUGGAGAAAGAGGUUUUCCACCUUGCCGACACCUUAGAAUCACUUGGAGGCAUUUAAAAAUAACCCAAUGCCUGGGACAUACCACAGACAAAUCAGGGAUGAGACCCAAGCAUGACAAUCUUUUAAAGCUUUCCAGUUGAUUCUAAUAUGCAGCCAGAUUUGAGAACCAUUGGUACAGGGAAAAGAGAGAAGACGUGCCAAGGAUGGAAGCUGUGAGAAGCUCAACAUUUACAGAAAAAACAUGGAGACAGGAAGAAGUUGGUGAAGGCACCAUCAAAUUGAAGAAGCAGGGGGAACCAGAAGGUAGUGAUGUCAUGGAAGCCACAGGAAGAGGAGGUUUCAACAAUCUAUUAUAAAAACAAAGAUCAAGUAAUGAAAGAACUGAGAAAAGGUCAACAGGGAUUGCUGAACGGGAUGAAAGCCCAAUUGCAUUGAAGAAC